UACGUAGGGUGCAGGCGUUAAUCGGAAUUACUGGGCGUAAAGCGUGCGCAGGCGGUCUUUUAAGUCAGAUGUGAAAUCCCCGGGCUUAACCUGGGAACUGCGUUUGAAACUGAAAGGCUAGAGUGUGGACAGAGGGGGGUGGAAUUCCACGGUGUAGCAGUGAAAUGCGUAGAGAAUGUGGAGGAACACCGAUGGCGAAGGCAGCCCCCUGGGCUAACACUGACGCCUCAUGCACGAAAGCGUGGGGAGCAAACAGG
rnacentral:rRNA from 1 species